UGUGUGGAAGGGCAAAGUAACAUUUCCAUCCCUUGAUGCCUCACUCCGCACUGAUGAUGACUUCAAAAGCUUGGCUGAUGAAGAACAUCAUUAUGCUAGAUCACCUUUAAUAGAGCUUGGAAUUGGGAUGGUUAGUCAGUUUCCUUAUGAUUAUAUGCACCUUGUGUGCUUAGGAGUGACAAGAAAACUUAUUGGGCUGUGGAUUAGAGGACCUGUGGGUAAGAACUGUAGAGUUGGAAGUAAUGUAAUACAAAGAAUAUCAGAUGACUUACUAAAGUACUGGAAAUUUCUGCCUUCAGAAUUUCCCAGAAAAUGCAGAUCACUUGCAGAGGUAGACAGAUGGAAAGCAACUGAAUACCGGCAGUUUCUGCUAUACAGUGGACCAAUUGCAUUAAAAGACAAAUUGGCUGAUGAUAAAUAUCAAAACUUUUUAGAUCUUUUUGUUGGCAUUUACUGUCUUGCAAGUCCAUUCUAUUACACUACACAUUGCCAAUAUGCCCAUGAAUUAUUGUGUACCUUUGUGCAAGACUUUGGCAGGAUAUAUGGUUCAGAUAUGUUAGUUUAUAAUGUUCAUGGGCUGUCACAUUUAGCUGGUGAUGUUGCAAAUUUUGGUCCAUUGGAUAGGUUCUCAGCCUUUCCAUUUGAAAAUUUCCUUGGAAAGUUGAAAGCCAAGCUGCGGAAACCCAACUUUCCCGUCCAACAAGUGAUCUGUAGACUUCAUGAGGAAAUGAAUGCUCUUUUGUCAACAGAACCCAAAAAGCAUGUAGAUGUAGAGGUACCCAAGCACAUGCAUAAUAAUGGACCAUUGCCAGGAUCUGAUGAUAAUUUUUCUCAGUUCAAGAAGGUCACUUACAAGAAACUCCAGUUCUCAAUAGAUUCUGGAGAUAACUGUGUGAAGGUUGGGUCAAAUAUAGGUCUGAUAAAGAACAUUUUGGUUAGAAAGGAUGGAGGUGAAGUGAUGGUACUCUUUGAAUCUUUUAGUAAUAUAUCCACCUUCUUUACAAGCCCACUAAGUUCAUCAGAUUUGGGUGUUUACAAGGUAUCACAUCUUAGAGGAAGGCUUGAUAUUAUUCCACUGUCAGAAAUAAUGUGCAAAUAUGUAAUGCUGCCUUAUAAGAAUGAUUUCUUUGUUGUAAUUCCAGUGAUUCACCAGUUUAAUAGACCAUGAGUGAUGCAGAAGUUGGGGCUAUGGUACUGGAUGUGUUAGUGUCUGCUUUUUUCUUUAUUUACUUAGGGUUGCAUUUUGCUUUAAAGACACUUUCGUGGUUUUGUCUUGUUUUUUCCAACAGAUGGGUGAAAUAUUUGUUUUGGUGGAAUUCCUUAAGACAAAUGAUGUGGCUGUAAUCCCUUCAUCAUGGCUAGUUAGCAAAGACAAAGCACUGUGGCCUCCAUACCUUUCCUCAACACGAAUAAACAAUGCUGUCCGCAACAGAGAUUCACCAUGUACAGAAUGGACGAAGUAUUCUGUUAAAAUCAUGUAUGAAUCAGGUACAGUAUAUAUACAUUUUUUGUUUCACAAAGGUUUUGCUAUAUUUUAUUCAGAGAUUGCUAAGAAUAGGAGUAGUUACAGUAACUGGAAUUACAUAAUUCCAGUUAUGUACUUCAUUUUCUGCUACUCUUACUAGCCAUUUCUGGACUCAUUUAAUAUUAUCAGUCAUACUUCACAGAACACUGCGGCAUCCAGUCCACCCACUGUUGGUUCAUCACCUGGGACCUGUGUGUGUCCUUGUCUGUUGUGUUCGUCAUCUGGGAUGUCUGUGGUUGUUUGUGUCUGUUGUGUCUAAUUGUGCCUUUGUUGUGAGUACCCUGUUGUGUUGUAUUCACUUAUUUCAACACGUAUCUGUGUCUUUUUCACUUCUUUCAUUACAUACUUUUUAGGAAAAUUAGAAAUAAACAAAUUACCUAUGAAUAUAGUAUGUGCUUAAUUCUUUCAUUGUGGCAGAUUUCUCAAAAACUUCAUGAACUAACCUGGUACUAGCAUAAGGCAAGUAAAAGGAAUGAUCCUGUAUGGUAACCAAUGAUAAUAAAUGAGUAAUAUUUACUAAAUUUAUCCACAGAUACAUAUGAGAGAGCAAGAGCAAAGUUGUCAACCGCUAUGUAUCAUUCUGACCUACUGACGGAGGAUUCUGAGGAUGAUAUCAUUAGCCGUUGUUCAAAAAGGAAGAGGAGGUGGGUGUGUUUCCAUUCUUUUUUUCUUCUAUGAAAAAAAAAAAAUCCUGUGAAGAGAGAGGGAGGGAGUGUGUAUAUUUACCUAGUUGGGAUAUGUGGGGAGGAAAGCUGAGCUCAUGCUGUCCUGUCUCUGUAUCUACAUAUGUGUUUGUGUGUGUGUGUGCUUGCAUAUACCUAGUUUACUUGUGCUCAUACAUAUACAUGUGAAUGUUCCAGAUUGCGUUUAUUAUAUAUUUCCAUAUCUUUUUCCAGAUCUCCCAGCAGAUACACUGACCAUGAAAGUUCUGAAGAGGACUGCUUUAGUUCAAGGGCUAAGACAAAAGCUUCCAGCAGUAUCAGGGAUGUGGAGGUAAAAUCCAAAGACCAGAUUGCAAGACCAGUUCCACCUAGGCCAUCUGUACCGAGCUGUAUUGUGUCACAGCCACAGCUACCACCACCUGAGAGUCUGGAUGUAAAUGCCCGAGAUGCAAGAAUCUUUAUGGUGUUGGAAGAACUACGUGCUAUACUGCAUUCCCACUCCACCAAGCUGAAUACUCUCCUCAGACACCACAGUGUGCAAGAACAAGAUCAAGCAGUACCAGAGGGCAUUCACUUCCCUGUGAAGGAUAUGAAUGAAAUGGAAGCCCUAGAAAGCAAACUGAUGGAUCCUGACCUAGAGAAGAAAGUUAUUGCAAGUCUGUAUGUAAUAGGUGGAUCAGGUCUUCCAGACACAGUGAGGCGCAUUCUGCGAUACACUGUGAGCAACUCCUUGGCCAUCCACUUCAAUUGGUGUGGCAAAGGAAUGAAACGGAGCUUUUGCACAAUGAAGCUGAAGGAUACAAUAAUUAAAAGUGUCCGCAAGAAUGCAGAGCACAAGAGUGCAACAGCUGCCUCAAUUGAAAAAGUAAUGAAGGAGUGGUUUCGAACAGCCAGAGAUCGAGAUGGAGGCCGUCGGAGGAGAGAUGUAAGAACUUGUGAGAGCAGUGAUACUGCCUAGACUUUCUGGCAUUGCAUAUUCAAAGUUCUCUCUCUCUUGCUCUCUCUUUGUGCAUUAAUGCAUCAUAAAAUACUCAGUUUACUGGUACCAUUCCAGGCUUUCAUGCCACAGUGACACCACACAUUCCAGUCUCCCUCCAUGUAUCCUGAAGCUCUCAUCCCACUUCUCCAUUCACCUUAACAUGCACCUGUAUCCCUUUGAUGUGCUUUCACACCUCUUAAUGAUCUACCUGCUCCAUAUGCACACCUCCCGUCACAUUCCACAUAGCCCACAGUCAGUCCUGUUAGAUGCAUUUUCCUCAUUUAUAAAUGCCUGUACCUUAAUUUCAUUCUUUUGGCUGUAAUGUUUCAUCUGUACAUUAGUAGUUAAUUGAAAUGUUGUGGACAGCAUUGCUGUAAUGGAAGCCACUUUUAUUUUAUUUUAUUUUUUUUUAUUUUAUUUUUUUUUUUUCUGUAGGAUGUAGGGAUAGGAUUAUUAUGAUAUUAAUUAUGUAAAUACUCAGUUUAGGAAUAGAGCUCAGGAUAGCUAAUGGUAAUUUUGUACUUAACACUGAUGCAAAGAUUAGGCAUUUGUUAUUGCUUGUUUCAAGGGUGCUCGCAGUGUUUUCAUGUUGCUGACUAAUGAUUAAUACUUGUGGUGCUGAGAAUUAUAUUGGUGAAAGAAUACUAAUUGUUCAGUUCUUAAAGAAAUCUUUUUUUGUAGCUACACACAAUGUAUUACCAAAGUGUGUGUGUGUGUGUGUGUGUGUGUUUUAGCUGUUCAGUAUUAAAUUGUUUUAAGUUCUCUGACAGUUGAUUCAUAAACUAUACUUUAAACAGAGUUAAUCAUUGGUAAGAUUUAAAGUAAAGAUGUGAAAGACUAUAUCCUCAGGCUGAAAAUAGUAAAUACAUAAGUAAUAUCAGGUGCUAUCACUAAGGCAUAAAGAGUAAGAAUGUGUACCAUCAUAUUGUUGUAGUUGUAAGGAAUGAUGACAAGGGCCAGGAAUCCCUCCCCUUAUUAUUAUUAUUUUUAUUAUUAUUAUUUUUUUUUUAACAAAAAAUAUUGAUUGAUUUACUUUUUAGGAGAAUUAUCUUAUUUCAUUUUCCACUGUCUUGCUUGGAAAUUACCUUGCUGAACAGGAUAAAUUAAGUUCCUUGAAAAGUCUUAAAUGUUGUGAUUUUAGAUUAUUUUUCUUUAGUUUCUAAGGUAAAAUUACAGCUAUACAACUGUUAAAUCUGGUAAUGAUAAAGUAUAAGUGUCUUCUCUUGCUUACUAAUGGCAUCAACCCAAUUGUAAACCCUAUUGUGAUAGCUGAAGAUCUUGUCAAAAUAAACUUAAGUCCACUGAAUGUAUCUUUCAUUUAUUCAUCAGGUGUAUUCAUGUAAAAUACAUUGGAUUACUAUAUAUAAAUGGGCGGUUAAUGGCAGGCAUAACUAUGUAGGCCCGCUGUUAGCGGGCCGACGUAGAACCUAUGAGCACGGGUGACGGCGGCCCCACGUAAUCUGCCACUGUAGGGCCGCCGGUACAACAUACGUUUAGCCUACGGAGGGCCGCCGUCUUCUGGCUUGCUGGGAAAUUCCUUCAAGAAUUUUAAUGUUUAUUUUUAUGAGAGAGAGAGAGAGAGAGAGAGAGAGAGAGAGAGAGAGAGAGAGAGAGAGAGAGAGAGA